UACGUAGGGUGCAAGCGUUGUCCGGAAUUACUGGGCGUAAAGCGUGCGUAGGUGGUUUGUUAAGUCUGUUGUGAAAGCCCCGGGCUCAACCUGGGAAUGGCAAUGGAUACUGGCAAGCUAGAGUGCGGUAGAGGGUAGUGGAAUUCCCGGUGUAGCGGUGAAAUGCGUAGAGAUCGGGAGGAACACCAGUGGCGAAGGCGGCUACCUGGACCAGCACUGACACUGAGGCACGAAAGCGUGGGGAGCAAACAGG
rnacentral:rRNA from 1 species